rnacentral:rRNA from 1 species
UACGUAGGGUGCGAGCGUUGUCCGGAAUUACUGGGCGUAAAGAGCUCGUAGGCGGUUUGUCGCGUCGGCCGUGAAAUCUCCACGCUUAACGUGGAGCGUGCGGUCGAUACGGGCAGACUUGAGUUCGGUAGGGGAGAUUGGAAUUCCAGGUGUAGCGGUGAAAUGCGCAGAUAUCUGGGGGAAGGCCGGCGGCGAAGGCGCCAUUCUGGGAAUUUCCUGACACUGAGGCGCGAAAGCGUGGGGAGCAAACAGG